rnacentral:lncRNA from 1 species
AAAGAUCAGGGCUGAGAGAGAUCAUUACGUGGCAGAGAGAGACCACUACUUCAGGCAGAUGAAGAUUCAUCAGAAGGAAGUUGGGAGACUGCAGCAAGAGAAUACAGAGCUCAGGUUCGCCGCAGAGUUCGCGAGGAUGGAAGACGAGAUAGGGCCACCUGCGGGACCCUCAUCCAGUUAGAUCUUUCAUUUGUGUUGGAUUACCGUCAGGCUUGUUGACGGAAUUCACUUGUAGCAGAGUUCGCGAGGAUGGAAGACGAGAUAGGGCCACCUGCGGGACCCUCAUCCAGUUAGAUCUUUCAUUUGUGUUGGAUU